rnacentral:tRNA from 1 species
GCGCCUGUAGCUCAAUAGGAUAGAGCGCACCCCUCCUAAGGGUGAGGCUGGGGGUUCGAUUCCCUUCAGGCGUGCCA